UUGACCUCGGAUCAGGUAGGGAUACCCGCUGAACUUAAGCAUAUCAAUAAGCGGAGGAAAAGAAACCAACAGGGAUUGCCCUAGUAACGGCGAGUGAAGCGGCAAGAGCUCAAAUUUGAAAUCUGGCUCUUUCAGGGUCCGAGUUGUAAUUUGUAGAGGGCGCUUUGGCGUCGGCUACGGCCUAAGUUCCUUGGAACAGGACGUCACAGAGGGUGAGAACCCCGUACGUGGCCGCUGGCCUUCGCCGUGUAAAGCCCCUUCGACGAGUCGAGUUGUUUGGGAAUGCAGCUCUAAAUGGGAGGUAAAUUUCUUCUAAAGCUAAAUACUGGCCAGAGACCGAUAGCGCACAAGUAGAGUGAUCGAAAGAUGAAAAGCACUUUGGAAAGAGAGUCAAAAAGCACGUGAAAUUGUUGAAAGGGAAGCGCUUGCAGCCAGACUUGCCUGUAGUUGCUCAUCCGAGCUCCCGCUCGGUGCACUCUUCUGCGGGCAGGCCAGCAUCAGUCCGGGCGGUCGGAUAAAGGCCUCGGGAAUGUAGCUCCCCUCGGGGAGUGUUAUAGCCCGGGGUGCCAUGCGACCAGCCUGGACUGAGGUCCGCGCAUCUGCUAGGAUGCUGGCGUAAUGGCUGUAAGCGGCCCGUCUUGAAACACGGACCAAGGAGUCUAACAUCUAUGCGAGUGUUUGGGUGUCAAGCCCGGGCGCGCAAUGAAAGUGAACGGAGGUGGGAACCCCUCGGGGCGCACCAUCGACCGAUCCUGAUGUCUUCGGAUGGAUUUGAGUAAGAGCAUAGCUGUUGGGACCCGAAAGAUGGUGAACUAUGCCUGAAUAGGGUGAAGCCAGAGGAAACUCUGGUGGAGGCUCGCAGCGGUUCUGACGUGCAAAUCGAUCGUCAAAUUUGGGCAUAGGGGCGAAAGACUAAUCGAACUAUCUAGUAGCUGGUUCCUGCCGAAGUUUCCCCUCAGGAA
rnacentral:rRNA from 1 species